UAUAUUCAAAAUUGUAUGGAGUUGGAACAGCUUCUUUCGUUUGCCGCUAGGGGUGGUGUUCUAACUCCAUACAAAUUUGAGUUA
rfam:Bombyx mori DNA, contig: Bm_scaf21_contig14718, strain: p50T/Dazao, build 2, whole genome shotgun sequence.